GAUGAACGCUGGCGGCGUGCCUAAUACAUGCAAGUCGAGCGAACGGACGAGAAGCUUGCUUCUCUGAUGUUAGCGGCGGACGGGUGAGUAACACGUGUAUAACCUACCUAUAAGACUGGGAUAAUUUCGGGAAACCGGAGCUAAUACCGGAUAAUAUUUUGAACCGCAUGGUUCAAUAGUGAAAGACGGUCUUGCUGUCACUUAUAGAUGGAUCCGCGCUGCAUUAGCUAGUUGGUAAGGUAACGGCUUACCAAGGCAACGAUGCAUAGCCGACCUGAGAGAGUGAUCGGCCACACGGGAACUGAGACGCGGUCCAGACUACUACGGGAGGCAGCAGUAGGGAAUCGUACGCAAUGGGCGAAAGCCUGACGGAGCAACGCCGCGUGAGUGAUGAAGGUCUUCGGAUCGUAAAACUCUGUUAUUAGGGAAGAACAUAUGUGUAAGUAAAUGUGCACAGCUUGACGGUACCUAAUCAGAAAGCCACGGCUAACUACGUG
rnacentral:rRNA from 1 species